CUGCCAUGCUGGUUCCUGAUACCAACAUAGCUCCCUUUUUCUUAUCAUCAAGAGGAAAAAAGGAGCUCACUGCUUUCUAAUACACAAGGAUGCCACAUACUGGAAAUGAAUGAGAAGGCUUUGAUUACAAAGGAGGUGGAUGCUCUCAUAAAUCACGCAUGCACACAGCAAUCACCUGAUAGUACUUUUGCCUUCCCUGAAAGUGAGAAAAAUCAAUGGCCUUGACAGGCAGUCUCAUUAGCAUACGUUGAGGAGUCCGGAUAUGUAGAAAUCCUUCGCAUUUUUCACACAGUGACAUUAAUGAAUGGCGUGUAUUCAAGUGAAGCCAUUCCCAAAGAAGCCAGGUGUGUUUCCAAAAUGUUAACCCAGGAACAGAGCCCAGUACCGCAGGAGCACAGCCAUGAUGACUCCAGGCAGUUGGACAAGACAGAAAAUCAGUGGUAGCUCCGCAGGCAAGCUAGCAAGUGCCUGAGACAACUUGUCACGUCAGGAACCCACUGUGUUCAAUUCAGCAUCAUCUCAGCCACUCCAAAUGCCUGAAAGCACGGAGCUGCUUGUUAAAAUGAAUUGUAAAAAUCAAAUUGGUCUGGAAGAUGUCUGAUCUGAAGCAAAGGAAGAGCAUCAAUUAAAUUUGAAGUCAUAUUAUCUUUGUGCUGGUGACCUGGCAAGCAUGCCUUUUGUUCUUUUUCAAUUCUAUUGUUUCUACCUUGGAAUUUUAAGCUAGUCCUGACCCCGAACCUAGAGAUCCACCUCACCAGGAGAACAUACCAGCUAAAACUGUGAGUGAGAAAAAUGAAGAGAUAAAUAUGCAACUCAGAUCAUCCUCUUGAUUAAGAGCGCUCUUAAAACUUCAUACUGUCUGGGACCGAUGUCCUGAAGUCUGCACGUGAUCUGAGGCUGCAUCACUCCGUGACACUUCCACUCACUGUCCUUACUGCUCUAGCUCAUGGCCCACCAGCGGAGUAGUCCUUUCUGACUUGGUCAGAACUCACAAAUCAUCCUUCCAGCCUGGAAGUGUGUGACACCUUCCUCACCUGACUUCCUAAGAGAAAGCUGAGGAUGUGGCACAGAAUAAAAGGUUAAUAAAUUCAUACUGGGCAUAUAAAG